AGUAAUGUAUGGGGAUCUGCCCGAUAGAGGGGGAUAACUACUGGAAACGGUGGCUAAUACCGCAUAAUGUCUACGGACCAAAGCAGGGGCUCUUCGGACCUUGCACUAUCGGACGAACCCAUAUGGGAUUAGCUAGUAGGUGGGGUAAAGGCUCACCUAGGCGACGAUCUCUAGCUGGUCUGAGAGGAUGAUCAGCCACACUGGGACUGAGACACGGCCCAG
rnacentral:rRNA from 1 species